AAACCAGCCAAUUAAUCUGCCUUAUCUCAUUGGCUUCUGCAGAAAUUUAGAAAGGGCUGGCAAUAAUGAUGCCAUGUUACGAGCCUUAAGGACAGCUGCAGUCUUUAAGGUCCCUGAAAAUGGCUACAGUA
rnacentral:snoRNA from 1 species